UUGAUCAGCAUCGGACCACUCAGACGUAGCAAGAUGAUCUCGCAGGCUCAGCUUAUCUGGCUGUUAGUGCUCUGGAUCCAGGAUUCCAGCGGGGACAUUGUGAUGACUCAGACUCCAGAAUCUCUGGCAGUGUCUCCUGGAGACACAGUCACUAUCCGCUGCAAAGCCAGUUCAAGCCUCACCAGUGGUAGCUAUCACUACUUAGCCUGGUACCAACAGAAAUCAGGACAAGCUCCAAAGCUCCUUAUCUAUCUUGCUUCUACCUUGCAAUCUGGGAUCCCGGCCCAGUUCAGCGGCAGUGGAUCCGGCACCAAUUACACACUCACAAUCAACAGAGUUGAAGCUGAAGAUGCUGCAGAUUAUUAUUGUCAACAGCAUUAUGAUCCCCCGUUCACUUUUGGGAAGGGGACCAAGUUGGAGAUAAAACGUAGAGAAAAUGCCAAGCCUUCGGUGUUCAUCUUUCAUCCAUCAGCCGACCAGCUGUCUGGGGGAUCUGCCACUGUGGUGUGCCUAGUGAGUGGCUUCUACCCGAGCGCCUUGAAUGUGGUCUGGAAAAUGGAUGAUGCCACUACCACGACUGGCGUCGUCACCAGCCAGAAGCAGCAAGAUACUUCUGACAGCACGUACAGCCUGAGCAGCACCCUGACGCUCACGAAAGAGGCGUACAACGAACACAACCGCUAUAGCUGCGAGGUGACGCAUGAAACGCUGCAGGGCCCUCUUGUCAAAAGUUUCAAGAGAUUGGAGUGUUCGCAGUAGGAGGCUCCCAGGGAAAGAUCCAUGCCUCCUCUUUGCAGCCUUUCUUAUGCUUUGUUUAUGUAACUAUCAGUCUUAUUCAUUUUUUCCCCCUCCCAAAAUAUUAUGACAGAGAUCUUCCAGGUCUCACCUCCUGCCUUACCCCUUGCUAACAGUCCUGGAUAACCAGGCCCUGCCUGAUUUUACCCUGCUGCCUAAUGAGGUUUCCUGCUUUUAUCAAGUUUCAACUUCAAAAAUGAAUAAAUAAAUGAAAUCAAUGAAACAGCA